AUUUGACCUCAAAUCAGGUAGGACUACCCGCUGAACUUAAGCAUAUCAAUAAGCGGAGGAAAAGAAACUAACAAGGAUUCCCCUAGUAACUGCGAGUGAAGAGGGAAAAGCUCAAAUUUAAAAUCUGGCGGUCUC
rnacentral:rRNA from 1 species